rnacentral:rRNA from 1 species
UACGAAGGGGGCUAGCGUUGUUCGGAAUUACUGGGCGUAAAGCGCACGUAGGCGGAUGUCUAAGUCGGGGGUGAAAGCCUUGGGCUCAACCCAAGAAUUGCCUUCGAUACUGGAUAUCUUGAGACCGGGAGAGGUGAGUGGAAUUCCGAGUGUAGAGGUGAAAUUCGUAGAUAUUCGGGAGAACACCAGUGGCGAAGGCGGCUCACUGGCCCGGUUCUGACGCUGAGGUGCGAAAGCGUGGGGAGCAAACAGG